CUCGCUCCUUGAGACUCUUAAGCUGAAACAUUGGUGUUAAAGACUCAAACAUAACUGAUAGAAACAGCUGUGAUGGGAUCAAUACUGCACAACAGAGAUGCAAACAACAUAAUGUGUUAAAGGAUACAAUGCGCUGGUCCUGGUAUGCCCACUUCUGUUUCAAAUAUUCAAUGAGGCUGGAAACCUUUCUAUGCAGCUCCACCACCAUUCUAGCAAACAGACACCAUUUUCGAAACCACUGGCACGAGUUAAAGCCUGACCUGAGGCGUGGAUUGUGGGCUAAACUUUGAACACGGGCCCAGGAUUGGUUACUGCGCGGCUGGAGCUCCACUGCCACCCUCAGGGGGAGACGCACCGGCUUCUGGUCUUCUUCAUCACUUACUCCUGUGGGGACACGUUGACAUAGUGAGAAAUGACAACAAAGAUGUCUCGUGGAAAGGAAGAAGAUUGAAGACAGCUCACCAUUGGCAAAGUCAAUGUGUUUGGAGAUCUUGUGCCAGG